GUAUAAUACUACGCGGCCGAGCGCGGGUCUUUUUCUCUCGUUGUCGUCGUACAAUUUCAAUAGAAGUAGGUAACCUUGUUUGAUCUCUUAUAUUCCGUAGAGUGAGGCACCCCUUCCGCCUUAGAGAAUCAAGCUUGGUCGGAGAGUUGUCGCAGACUGAACUAAGAAUGACGAAGGCACACAGAGUGAGCUGCGCUAAUUGACUCACACGGGAACUACCAGUCCAGACAUAGUAAGGAUGACAGAUGAUAGCUCUUUCUUGAUUCUAUGGGUGGUGGUGCAUGGCCGUUCUUAGUUGGUGGAGUGAUUUGUCUGGUUAAUUCCGAUAACGAACGAGACCUUAACCUGCUAACUAGAUUCUUCUGUCUUACAGAAGUUAUCUUCUUAGAGGGACUAUGUAAAUCAAUUACAUGGAAGUUUGAGGCAAUAACAGGUCAGUGAUGCCCUUAUAUGAACCGGCGCGGUCGCGCGUGCUACACUGAUGCAUACAACAAGUGCCUAACCAGACAUGGUAUGGCAAUCUCGAAUAUGCAUCGUGUAAUGGGGAUAGAUCUUUGCAAUUAUAGAUCUUGAACGAGGAAUUCCUAGUAAGUGCAAGUCAUCAUCUUGCAUUGACUAUGUCCCUGCCCUUUGUACACACCGCCCGUCGCUUCCUACCGAUAGGAAGGAAAUCCGGUGAACCUUUGGACCUUACGGGGAAGUUAGGGGACAAUGAUUUAGAAUUAGGUAUGGGGGGGAUAGCUCGAAUCGGGCGUCG
rnacentral:rRNA from 1 species